UACGUAGGGUGCAAGCGUUGUCCGGAAUUAUUGGGCGUAAAGAGCUCGUAGGCGGUUUGUUGCGUCGGCUGUGAAAUCCCGAGGCUCAACCUCGGGUCUGCAGUCGAUACGAGCAAACUAGAGUGUUGCAGGGGAGACUGGAAUUCCUGGUGUAGCGGUGAAAUGCGCAGAUAUCUGGAGGAAUACCGGUGGCGAAGGCGGCAUCCUGGACCGGCAUUGACGCUGAGGCGGCGAAAGCUAGGGGAGCAAACGGG
rnacentral:rRNA from 1 species